AGGAAAACCACUGAUUGAGGCAUCAAAGAAGCUAAUCAAAGUGAAGAAAAUCUUGCCAUGUUGAAGUAGCUUGACUAAUAUACCAAAAUCUAUCUUUAAUACUGCUGUAUCAAAGUCCUCAGGCAAAGUUGAUAUGAAAAUUUACUUGGAAUGAACAGAAUUUACAGCUAAUGUCUGGAAAUCAGCAAGAGAACAUUUAUGUUCAGGUCCCAUGUAUCAACUGAGAGCUAAGUGAAAAGCAAUCAGGUUUUUAAAUAAAACCCAAACCCAUCAAAAGAAAAUGCUUUCAGAAUGCUGAAAGUGUAAAAGCAAAGAUGAAGUGGGACCUGAGCAGAGGUGACACAAAGCCCCUAAAAGCUGGUAACACUGUAUAGUGGAUAGUGACUGACUGGAUGUUGAGAGAAUCAGGUCAAAUUUGCUGUCUUCAUUUCAUG
rnacentral:lncRNA from 1 species